GAUGAACGCUGGCGGCGUGCUUAACACAUGCAAGUCGAACGGAAAGGCUCCUGCUUGCAGGGGUACUCGAGUGGCGAACGGGUGAGUAACACGUGGGUGAUCUGCCCUGCACUUCGGGAUAAGCCUGGGAAACUGGGUCUAAUACCGGAUAGGACGAUGGUUUGGAUGCCAUUGUGGAAAGUUUUUCGGUGUGGGAUGAGCUCGCGGCCUAUCAGCUUGUUGGUGGGGUAAUGGCCUACCAAGGCGUCGACGGGUAGCCGGCCUGGGAGGGUGUACGGCCACAUUGGGACUGAGAUACGGACCAGACUCCUACGGGAGGCAGCAGUGGGGAAUAUUGCACAAUGGGGGCAAGCCUGAUGCAGCGACGCCGCGUGGGGGAUGACGGCCUUCGGGUUGUAAACUCCUUUCGCUAGGGACGAAGCGCAAGUGACGGUACCUGGAGAAGAAGCACCGGCUAACUACGUG
rnacentral:rRNA from 1 species